GGAGAGGUGGCUGAGCGGUCGAAAGCGGCGGUCUUGAAAACCGUUGAACCUCGCGGUUCCCAGGGUUCGAAUCCCUGCCUCUCCGCCA
rnacentral:tRNA from 1 species